AGACGCUAAAGUUAUUUGUCGUUUUGGGAUUUAACCCAAUAUUUUCCUUUGCCCUAGAAACACCCUUCUGAUUAACCCCUUUCAGAAAGUCUACUUUUUGAAAUCUUAUCCCCGAAAAUUCUGCUUCUAUUUCACUAGUUUUGGCCGUUUCAAUACAGGCAGAUUCAGGCCACCACUCACGGCGAUUUUCGUUGCAGGAUUUUGGCGACCCCUAGAGUUUCUCCGUGACUUCCUCUCAACGAUCAUCUGGGGUCAGAACGGCUCCGACGGCUCCACUGCUUUGACUUCCUCCGGUAAGCGUUCCGUCGUUAUAUUCCUACCCUCGGCUACGUCCUGCGAAAACCCCACAUCCACACACAUGUCCUUCGAAUGACCGGACCUUCCACAGGAGAAACACACGGAUGGUAGCGCUUCAAACUCCACCCUUUGCACCGCCCCAUUAACCAGAACCUAAGAAACUAAGGGCUUCCUCAAAUCGAUGCACAUGACCAUUCUAGCAAAUUUUCCCCUCGGCCCCUUAUCGGUCUGAAAAUUGAGCUUAGUGACCUUCCCAAUCAAACCCCCGAUUUCCUCCAAGAUUUGUCGUUUAUAAAGAAACCCUGGAAGACCCGGUAAUCUGAUUGAAACCAUAGUGUUGCUAGGGAAAGCUUGAAGAGGGUUAAACUCCGGUGUCCACAGUUGAACAGUGAGAUACUAACCAAGGACAAUCCAUGGUCCCUGUAGUACGACUGAUUACAUGGCAUGUUAUAUGGGGCUUGAAGAGGAGGAGAUGUUACAUGGAUUAUAUAUUUCCUGAAUAUGCUGAGGUUCAGCAUUUGUUGCGAGCCAUCGUGUAUUACUCCUUGAUUCUAGUGUGUUACCAGGGGCAGAUGUAAAGCCUUCAAGCUGGUACUUAGUGUCGAGGUGUGUUUUGGAAGGAUGUUGGGCUGGGCACUAAGUGCCGAGUAAUGUUAUUGGUUGGAUUAGCUCUAAUGAGCGCUUGGUGUGUUUCGGUUGGACUACUUGCAUAUUCGUAUUUAUAUCUUUUUGUGGGACGGAAGACCGGAUCAUCACUCAAGUCACAUUAUCCAUCCGAUAUCGGUAGUUUUUGAAUGUUUAUUUUGGAUUAUAUGGCAUAUAAUAGGUUGUUGCGUUAAUGACCUCGUUUGAUAUGUAAAUAUGUGAAGUAUGUACCUAGUUAAUCUUAGAUUGAUGUUGAUUGUAAUGUGAUGAUUUAUUUCAUUGUACAUGUAUGUAUAAUUGUGGUACCAAUGAGGGUAUAUUGAUUAGGCACUUAAAA